GGUUGAACUCCUUUGAUGAAGCUUUUGUUGGCACCAUAAAUUGGUUUUGCUUCACACUGUCUUGAUCAAAAGUGUGUGAAGCUUUUGAGAAUUGUGGUUGCCCUCCAUUGAUGAAGCUCUUGUUGGCACCAUAAAUUGGUUUUGCUUCACACUGUCUUGAUCAAGAGUGUGUGAAGCUUUUGAGAAUUGUGGUUGCCUUCCUUUGAUGAAGCUCUUGUUGGCACCAUAAAUUGGUUUUGCUUCACACUGUCUUGAUCAAGAGUGUGUGAAGCUUUUGAGAAUUGUGGUUGCCCCCUAUUGAUGAAGCUCUUGUUGGCACCAUAAAUUGGUUUUGCUUCACACUGUCUUGAUCAAGAGUGUGUGUGAAGCUUUCUACGAGUUGUAGUGUUUGCAUUGUUACAGAGGGGAAA
rnacentral:lncRNA from 1 species